rnacentral:lncRNA from 1 species
GGAAGCUGAGAGGGCCCGCGGGUAGGCAUGGCGGCGCACCUUAAGAAGCGGGUUUAUGAGGAAUUCACGAAAGUGGUUCAGCCACAGGAGGAAAUUGCUACUAAGAAACUCCGACUAACAAAACCAAGUAAAUCUGCAGCACUCCACAUAGAUCUGUGUAAAGCUACCUCCCCAGCAGAUGCUUUGCAAUACUUGCUCCAGUUUGCCAGGAAGCCUGUCGAGGCGGAAAGCGUAGAGGGAGUAGUCAGGAUUCUCUUGGAACAUUAUUACAAGAGAUGGAGUCUCUCUGUGUUGCCCAGGCUGGUCGCGAAUUCCUGAGCUCAAGCAACCCUCCUGCUUGGCCCUCCCAAAGGAUUGGGAUUACAGACGUGAGCUACCACAUCUGACCAAAAUCAGGAUUUCUGUUCUCAAGAAGUUUUCGAUCUCUCAGUGAUCUAUUUUCCGUUAGUCUUUUUCUUAGCAAUAUCUACCAUUAUUAUUAUAUUAAAGAUCUGUUACCAAUAAUCAUCUAUAAUAAUACUUCUUAGAGCAGUUAACAUUAUAUUGCUUGUUAGAGUUUGAAAGCACUUUCCAUAUGUAAUAUUUUAUUUAAUCCUGGUGACAGCACCAUUGUUAUCUCUAAAUUCCAGAUAUGGAACUAAGCUUAGAGCUGUUUAGUAUCCAAGGUCACCCAGCUAGUAAAUGGAAGGUAUGGAUUUGAACUUGGGUUUUUUUUUUAAAAAACCUUUUGUUAUGGAACAUUUCAGAUAUAUACUAUGUAAGUAAAGAGAAUAGUUUAAUUAAUUCCCAUGUACCCAUUACCUGGCUUCAAAAAUUAUCAUUUUGUGGCCAAACUUGUUUCAUUUUCCCUCUUCCCCAAUCCACUUCUACUUCUUUACCCUCACCUUCUCCACCAGAUUCUUAUGAAAAUAAAUUCCUGGCAUCAUAUUAUUUUAAUCAUAAAUUUUGAUUUAUAU